UGUAGACCCUAAGGAACUAGUCAUGCAGUUAAAGUCAAUAUUAUGUGCUCUCCAUCCAUUGAUCUUAGCUACUUAUGUCCUCAGAAGUACGCAAUCACUUACAUCCACCACAUCCACCAUCUGUUCUCGGAAGCACCAUCCACAUAUACGCAAUACAUUUUGUGUUGUUUCUAUCCUAAAGACACGCACUGAUGCUGCUCCUACCCUGGGAGUAUACAUUCCUUCAUCCACCCAUAUAUAUUCCACAUCCACUUAGAAAAUGUUCUACUCCUGCACUAGGAGAAGACACUCAAAAAUUGUCAUUGUCAUUUUGUCUUAUUUUACUUAUCCAAUAAAGCUCCAGUUAUUUCAGUUAUACUCCCUAUUGCUAUCAGUGUUUUGAAAGGGAUUGGCUGAUCUAAAAAAAGAGAAAAGAGAGAAAAAGAAAGAAAGAGGACAAAAGUCCCAUUGCAAAAGAAAAGAAAGACAGCCAAGUCCUUGUUUUUAGAUUAGGGAGGUAUGUUAUCCCC
rnacentral:lncRNA from 1 species